AGUUGUGUAAAGUGUGCAGCAACUCUGCGUGAAGAAACCAUGAGAGAUAGGAAGCUCGUAGUUUGAAUUCGUUGGUGCAAAACUGCAGAAACACAGAUAAUCAUUUAUUAAGACCGCCUUGAUGUUUCCCUCAACUCAGGACCUAGGAACCAUAUCUUUGAAAUGUAAUCAUCGAUGAAGAUAGCACCUAUGUUUCCCAGUUGUUGUGAGAGCUCAACCAUGACCAAGCUGCAGAACUACCUCCUGUCAUACAGCUUCUGAUUCUGUGCAUCAUCAGUUUGGAUUGGAUUCAGCAAGAAAGUUCACAUGAUGGUUUAACUUGGGACUUCUCAUACAUCUGCAAUCAACUGCUGGUCUAGUGGGCAGCUCUGCUUCUAAGGUUUGACUGACUAGUGGCUGGGGUAAUGGCAACAAGUGGGUUUAUGGAUGUCUUAUCAUCCAAUGGCUAGUCCAGUUUUGUUUCCAUG